rnacentral:rRNA from 1 species
AAUAGAUACCCGGGUAGUCCACGCCGUAAACGAUGAGUGCUAAGUGUUAGAGGGUUUCCGCCCUUUAGUGCUGCAGCUAACGCAUUAAGCACUCCGCCUGGGGAGUACGGCCGCAAGGCUGAAACUCAAAGGAAUUGACGGGGGCCCGCACAAGCGGUGGAGCAUGUGGUUUAAUUCGAAGCAACGCGAAGAACCUUACCAGGUCUUGACAUCCUCUGACAACCCUAGAGAUAGGGCUUUCCCCUUCGGGGGACAGAGUGACAGGUGGUGCAUGGUUGUCCUCAGCUCGUGUCGUGAGAUGUUGGGUUAAGUCCCGCAACGAGCGCAACCCUUGAUCUUAGUUGCCAGCAUUCAGUUGGGCACUCUAAGGUGACUGCCGGUGACAAACCGGAGGAAGGUGGGGAUGACGUCAAAUCAUCAUGCCCCUUAUGACCUGGGCUACACACGUGCUACAAUGGAUGGUACAAAGGGCUGCAAGACCGCGAGGUCAAGCCAAUCCCAUAAAACCAUUCUCAGUUCGGA